UACGUAGGGUGCGAGCGUUGUCCGGAAUUAUUGGGCGUAAAGAGCUCGUAGGCGGUGUGUCGCGUCGGCCGUGAAGACCUGGGGCUCAACUCUGGGCGUGCGGUCGAUACGGGCAUCACUUGAGUUCGGCAGGGGAGACUGGAAUUCCUGGUGUAGCGGUGAAAUGCGCAGAUAUCAGGAGGAACACCGGUGGCGAAGGCGGGUCUCUGGGCCGAUACUGACGCUGAGGAGCGAAAGCAUGGGUAGCGAAUGGG
rnacentral:rRNA from 1 species